rnacentral:sRNA from 1 species
UAAUAAUGCAUAAAUACUUAUUAGCCUAAUGCAUGUAUUUUUAGUGUUUGGUUGGAUGAAAAUAUCUUGAUCAUGGGCUCUUGGCUCUUAGGGUUUAAUUAGUUAUUUUUUAUCAAUAGUUCGGGGAUUGUCUGGAACUAAUAUAAAAACUUGGUAUCGAUUGUAAUUAAUCGCACAACUCUAUUGCAAACUCUUUAACAAUGCAUGCGCAGAAAUGUAAUUCAUCGUGUUCAUUGUAUUGCAUGUGUAAACAUAUCGGUACCAUUUCGAUUAUUACUAAAGCAGCAUCAUUUGAUUAAAUUUAAAUCAUCACAAUUGCUGUUAUGUCUUUUUCCUAUAAUGAUACUAAUAAAGUAUAGACAUCUUGGUUUCUUUUUUUAUUUGCCCCCCCCCCCCUUUCAGUUUUCUUCAAACAACAUUGUUCUAAUUUUUGCGCAUCAUUGCCAAGGCAAUUGAUGAAAAGAACAUGUAUACUAGUUGUACUUUACUAUAUAAGCAAAUACAGAUCUUUAAAAGUUGUCUAUAGUUUGAUUCGCCGCAUGUUGUUUUUUGCAUGUGAAUUUUAUUUUGAGAAACUUAUUUAACCAUCAUAAUUGACUAAAUAUAGACAGAAUGUGGACGACGAUUUUCUUCACACAGUUGGUAUGUGUCACAAUCAAUUGAUUUAUUCAUGAUUACUAUUUUCCUGUAGGGUACCUCUGAUUUUUAUUCUAUGUUCAUAUCCUUUUUGGUGCCUCAGAUUUUGUCAAUUCAGGUAUUGGUCAAUAUUGGACUAUACUCGGACGGUUCUAUUUGUUUACUUUGAUGCUAUAAAUACCCAUGUUUUUGGUCAGUGAGCUGGGGUCCAUUAGUACGCACUGCAGUAGUAGCACAAUGUAUAGCUAAACGUAUUUUUUACGGUAACCAUCUCCAUUAGGGGUAAGUUCGUUUUUCCUUAUACUUUAGUCUUGUUUGUAAUAUUUAAGACUUUAGGUAACUGUUCUAAUACGUAUUCGAUAGUAUUUUCGUGUUAACGUUUUACAUACUUGUUUAUUUACCGUAGAGUUAUGGUGCGUUUGUGUGACAAGCGUGGUUUGCUAGUUUAUUUGUGAGUUUAUAUUUCGUAGUCUUAUACGGCGUUAUUGGUCAUACAUUGACUGUUUUGUGAUGGUAAGGGGUCUUAUACACUUAACUAUAUUGCAUGUUAAGAGGUCUUAUACGCUUAACUGUGACAGUGUUUGAUACGUUAAGGGGUCUGAUACACUUAACGGUUUUGUAGAGCGAGUAUUGUUCGGGUGAUUGUAUGGCAUGCAGUUACGGUAAUUAUGUAAAUAAGUAUAUUGUGACAGUGUAACGUUUAAUUGAAAAUAUUGUUAUUUAUAUAUAAUUAAAAGGUUCCAGCAAGGUUCCAGCAAUGUCCCAGUGAUGAUUCGGCCAUAGUCACCAGUGUUCCGGUAUUGAACAUCUUACCACCCGUGUAACCUCCUUCGAGUAUUCACUUACUACGCUGGAAGCCGGUGGACGGAAGCCGUCAUCUUAGGACGUGGUACCGAAGGAGGACACAUUGGAGGAACACAGGAGGGACACUGCUGUCCAAUAUACCACCAUAGGAAAUUGACGAAUCAGAUAUUAGAAAACUUUUUUUUUUGUUAAUAUUUUGUGUGUGUGUGUGUGUAUGUGUAUAUUUGUAAAUUUAUUGAUUUUAUAUAUAUAGAUAAAGAUUGUAAAUA